AUUGAACGCUGGCGGCGUGCUUAACACAUGCAAGUCGAACGCGAAAGUCCUUCGGGAUGAGUAGAGUGGCGCACGGGUGAGUAACGCGUGGAUUAUCUGCCUUCAAGACGGGAACAACAGUUGGAAACGACUGCUAAUACCCGAUAUGCUCACAGCAAUGUGAGAAAAGAUGACCUCUGCUUGCAAGUUAUCGCUUGGAGAUGAGUCCGCGUCCCAUUAGCUAGACGGUGGGGUAACGGCCUACCGUGGCAACGAUGGGUAGCCGAUCUGAGAGGAUGAUCGGCCACACUGGGACUGAAACACGGCCCAGACUCCUACGGGAGGCAGCAGUGGGGAAUAUUGCGCAAUGGACGAAAGUCUGACGCAGCGACGCCGCGUGAGGGAUGAAGGUCUUCGGAUCGUAAACCUCUGUCAGGAGGGAAGAACCUGUGGUGUGCUAAUCAGCAUCACACUGACGGUACCUCCAAAGGAAGCACCGGCUAACUCCGUGCCAGCCGCCGCAGUAACAC
rnacentral:rRNA from 1 species